AUGUAAGAAUUUAAAGGUCGAACAGACCUAUUCAUUAAGCUACUGCACCUAACUAUAAUCUUAAUCCAACAUCGAGGUCGCAAUCCUUCUUGUAAAUUUGAACUCUGAAAGAAGAUUACGCUGUUAUCCCUAAGGUAACUUAAUCUAUUGAUCAAUAAUAAUGGAUCCAAUAAACCAUAAAUAAAUGUAAAUAAAAUAAUAAAAGUUAAAUAUAUAUUUUCGUCACCCCAACGAAACAGAAUUUAACUUUCUAAAUAAACAUUAAUCCAACAAAAAGAAAAUUAAAUAAUGUAAAGCUCUAUAGGGUCUUCUCGUCCUACAAAAAAAUCUAAGCUUUUUAACUCAAAAAUUAAAUUCAAAUUAUAUAAAUAAGAAAGUCUAUAUUUCGUUAAACCUUUCAUUCCAGUCUCCUAUUAAAAGACUAAUGAUUAUGCUACCUUUGCACGGUCAAUAUACCGCGGCCGUUAAAAAUACUCACUGGGCAGGCCAGACCUUUUAAAUAAACAAAAGGACAUGUUUUUG
rnacentral:rRNA from 1 species